AAAGAAAUAUCGUUUAAAAAGCUUCUAACUUUUCCCCAGCAAUAAUUUGUUAU
rnacentral:tRNA from 1 species